rnacentral:rRNA from 1 species
AGCCAAACUCUAGCCCGACCAUGCCCUACCUGACAAAAAUAAAAAACCACUCCACCACCAGACUAAAACAUUUUUUCCCAACCUAGUAUAGGUGAUAGAAAAGACCCCCUUCCCCCGGAGCAAUAGCGAACCCCGUACCGUAAGGGAAAGAUGAAAUAACAAUGAAAACCAAAGCCCUAAAAAGCAAAGAUAAACCCUUGUACCUUUUGCAUCAUGAUUUAGCCAGAAUAAUCAAGCAAAACGAAUUUAAGCUUGCCCCCCCGAAACCCAAGCGAGCUACUUACAAGCAGCUAUCCAUGAGCGAACCCGUCUCUGUUGCAAAAGAGUGGGACGACUUGUUAGUAGUGGUGAAAAGCCAACCGAGCUGGGUGAUAGCUGGUUGCCUGCGAAACGAAUUUAAGUUCUACCUUGAUCCCCCUCCAACGAGCCAAAUCCAAACAAUCCUGUAGCAAAUCAAGAGCAACUAAAAGGAGGUACAGCUCCUUUUAAAAAGAACACAGUCUCCCCUAGCGGAUUAAUUAACCCCAUACCAUGUAAACUGUGGGCCCUUAAGCAGCCAUCAACAAAGAGUGCGUCAAAGCUCUCAACUAAAAAAUCCAAAAAUAACAUGACUCCCUUACUCCAUAGCAGGCCAAUCUAUAACAAUAGAAGAACUAAUGCUAAAAUAAGUAACUUGGACUCCCUCCUCUCAAGCGCAAGUUCACAUAACCACAUUACUAACAAACCUCAACUAAUACUACAACUCCAACAAGACCAAGUAUUAAAUCCCCUGUUAACCCAACCCAGGUGCGCUUACUAGAAAGAUUAAAACCUGCAAAAGGAACUAGGCAACCCAAAGACCCGACUGUUUACCAAAAACAUAGCCUUUAGCCCACCAAGUAUUAAAGGUGAUGCCUGCCCAGUGAUAUAACAUAUUCAACGGCCGCGGUAUCCUAACCGUGCAAAGGUAGCGCAAUCAAUUGUCUCAUAAAUAGGGACCUGUAUGAAUGGCUAAACGAGAUCUUAACUGUCUCUUGCAGAUAAUCAGUGAAAUUGAUCUUCCUGUGCAAAAGCAGGAAUAUCCACAUAAGACGAGAAGACCCUGUGGAACUUAAAAAUCACGACCAUCCGCACACCAAACCCAAACCCAUCAGGCCUACCAACUUGCAGACAUUGGUCCGUAUUUUUUGGUUGGGGCGACCUUGGAGAAAAGCAAAUCCUCCAAAAACAAGACCACACACUCUUAACCAAGAGCAACCCCUCAACGUACUAACAGUACCCAGACCCAGUAUAACUGACCAAUGAACCAAGCUACCCCAGGGAUAACAGCGCAAUCUCCUUUAAGAGCCCAUAUCGACAAGGAGGUUUACGACCUCGAUGUUGGAUCAGGACAUCCUAAUGGUGCAGCCGCUAUUAAGGGUUCGUUUGUUCAACGAUUAAUAGUCCUACGUGAUCUGAGUUCAGACCGGAGCAAUCCAGGUCGGUUUCUAUCUAUGACAAACCUCUCCUAGUACGAAAGGACCGGAGAAGUGAGGCCAAUACCUCAAGCACGCCUCCCCACAAGUGAUGACAACAACUAAAUCACUAUAAAGGACAUUAACCUCAAACCAACAAUCCUAAAAAAGGACCG